AUGCGUACUACUACCACAUCGUCGACAUUCCGGUUUGAGACCCACACAGAAAAUCUGGACUUGACAUCCAAGAAUCUCCAUAUAAUUCGGUUCUAGAGCCUUUCGUAGCAAUUCCUCAUCCGCCUCAUGUGGGACACACUUCAUCGUCAAUAAUCCAAUCCCACCUCCACUAUGUUAUUUGGCCGAAAGCACACUUGUUCGACUACUCCUUCACUUCCUAAUUUCUUGAAGCCUCCUCCUCAUUAUUCACCCCCAUCUCGGGCAAGGUUGGCGGUGAUAAUCCACCCACCAAGCUUCCUCUGAAGGUGACUCCCAUGAACUUCUGAAUAUCACCAGCCACUUCUAAGUCGAUUAAUGGUCUCGGACUAUCCUCUCCUAAUCCAGGGACCGAAACAGGUACAAAAACCCGAUCCAUCUCGGCAGAAUUUCACUUGCCGACUGGCCCGCGGCCAACACCUGUUGGUUAGGUAAGUUAUCGAAGAAUACGACUAAAAUUCCACAAACUUGUCGAAUAAAUUCUGUAGAAUACUUAUAAUAACUUGUAAAGGCAAUUAAGCCCAUAUAAACUUUAAUAAAA